rnacentral:misc_RNA from 1 species
GAUGAAGAACGUAGUGAAAUGCGAUACGUAAUGUGAAUUGCAGAAUUCAGUGAAUCAUCGAGUCUUUGAACGCACAUUGCGCCCCCUGGUAUUCCGGGGGGCAUGCCUGUCCGAGCGUCAUUGCUGCCCUCAAGCACGGCUUGUGUGUUGGGCCUCCGUCCUCCUCCCGGGGGACGGGCCCGAAAGGCAGCGGCGGCACCGCGUCCGGUCCUCGAGCGUAUGGGGCUUCGUCACCCGCUCUUGUAGGCCCGGCCGGCGCUUGCCGACACAUCAAUCUUUUUUCCAGGUUGACCUCGGAUCAGGUAGGGAUACCCGCUGAACUUAAGCAUAUCAAAGCGGAGG